rnacentral:tRNA from 1 species
GGGUCGUUAGCUCAAUUGGUAGAGCAGCGGACUCUUAAUCCGUUGGUUGUAGGUUCGAUUCCUACACGACCCACCA